UGGCAUGAUGGUCGACGAUGUUUUUCCUUCAACAAUCAAUGUUGAUCCAUUCUGAUGGUGACUUGUUAGAGUUUCUCUUUUUUUAAAAAUUUAAAUUUUAGAAUUUUUUAAAUAUUGCUAGUCAGAGAAUUUGAAAUUUGAAUUUCGAUGUUGUUGGGUGGGUAGAGAUUCUCUUUCUUUCUUGUUUUUAUGUACUCUCUUUUUUUAAUAAAUUUUAUAGUCUCC
rnacentral:lncRNA from 1 species